AAAGAAAAAAGAAAAAAAGGAAAAUAAAGGAAGGAAUUAUGCAAACAAUUUAACAGCAGGGGUCAGUCUUUAUUACAGUCCCCUCAGGAUGGGCAAAUGAAAGCCCGGAACAGCUACCAACAACAGUAGCCACAGUUACAGUAACAGAGCCUGGGCGUUGUGUGAGCCUGGCAGCUCUCCCCAGCAAGCAGCCACAAAGCAGCACAUUACGCAUAUUAAUACGUGAUAGAAGUUUGCCUCAAUAGCAGUUCCAGGGAAAGGCUCAUCGCCUCUUGAGAAGAAAAAAAAAAAAGCUGGAGGGAAAAGCAGCCUUUCUGGUAAAGCCGUGACAACAGCAUCAGCAGCUCCAACUGGUUUGUUGCCAUUACUUCUGGCAACCCAGCAAAGCCAUCUCCCCGAGAUCUACACGUCUCUCUGUUAAGUAAUCGCUGCACUCGCAUCCAUUACACUGCAGCUCAGGAAUCCCCAAUUAACCGGCCCAUUAGAGGUCCAGGGAGACUCACGGUUGGAUGUUGCGUAAGGAGCAGCUGCAGCAGGAACUGCUGGGUACAGCAAGCAGCCUGUCCAGAGCAGACAUCCACAGUCACAGAGCUGAGGGCAAGAGUGUCCUUGGGGAGGCAGAAGAAGAGUGUUUCCUUUUGUGGAGCAGCCAAACUCCUCAAGCACCAAGUCUGAAACAACAGGCUGUGAGCUGCGGGAGCUGGAGCCUCGGCCUGGUGGGUGGUGAGAGCAAGCUGAUCCUGCUGCAUGGUGAGACCCCAAGUACAGAACAGGGGCUCUGGAGCAGAGUUCCCCAGCUCCUCCAGGUGCUUGUGCAAUUUCCACAAAUAGUCACGGAAUAAAAUGCAGAAAUACACCCUGGAA